CCUUUUUUUUCUCUUCCCAGGCCUGUAUCGCUUGUUUCUACUUCUUCGGUUAAAUGUCACUCCUUACGUUCCUGUUGGCAAGGUUUAUCUGGCCAUUCCACUAUGAUAUGCUGCUCUUGCUUAAUACAGAUCUCCUUGAAGAAAUAAUGUUUGCUUUCCUCCCUUUUACCUGAAGGGACAAAUGGAGAAAUUCACCUUUCCUCAGAAGGAAAGUAUUUUGCUUCUGUCUUCUCUCAAGGACAGAAACUGUUGUCUCUGGUGCUCAAAGGGUAACCAUCCCUUUUCCUAGGAGUUUAUGACUUUUGCUUCAUUACUGACAAAUACAAAGAUGCAUCAUUAAAAGAGGUUCACUUGGUUCUUUUCCCUUCCAACAUAUAAUUUUUCUGAGGAUGUGUGUGUGUACAUGUUCGAGUGUGCGUGAAUGUGCAAGUAUGUGUGGCAGCCAGGGAUCGACUUCAGUGGUCUUCCACUAUUGCUGUCCAAGUUAUUUUUGGGGAAAGGAUCCCACUGUUUUGGCCAGACCUGCUGGCCAGCAAGUUCCAAGGAUUUGACUGUAACCACCAGUGCCCUUUCAGUCCUGGGGAUUUAGGUGCAUGCAGGGCCCAGCUUUCUACUUGGUGUUGAGGAUCCAAACUCAGGUCCUUAUGAGCACAAGCAAGCACUUUACUCACUGGGCCAUCUCCCAGCCCCAUAAGCAUAUUUCUUAAAUCAAAGAAUAAAGCAGAAUAAAAACCUGAGAAAGUAUAGAUUUUGCUCCUAUCUGAACUCCUGAGGAUUCUCUUCUGUUAGAUUAAUUCGCAGUUGGUCUUUAGAAAUCUGUGAAAUUUUGCCUGUUUUUGUUCUUCCAGACUCAUCCAAAGGUGAAACGACUUGUUUGUCUCCUCAUUCUUGAGAGGGAGUUUUGCAUCCUUUGAAAGUCAGUUCAUAGUAUUGGAAGUAACAUCAUAACACAUUUCAAAAAAAUCAACAAAUUUCCUUGCCUGCAAAUUUAAAGAAUAAAGUCCCCAUCCCCACCUCUUUUAGAACUGGAUAUUUUCAAACGUUUCCAGUAUCUGCUGCCUUGGAGAAACGCCCAGGCAAACUGAGUGAAAACAUCAUAUGAUCUUAGCCAUGGGGAGCUGGAAGACAGAGGAUGGUUUCAGGGCUGAAGGACUCUGCAUGGAGCUGAGAACGGAGGUGGGCAGGAAGCUUAGAUUUUGGUGGCCCAGCCAAAGUUCAUGAAGAACCUGUGCUGUUAUCAGAGAAAGUGUCAAGUUCAAAGACAGCAACAGAGACAGAGACAGGAGCCUGUGCAGGGGAACCAGUGAGAGAGGAACAGGGCUUUGGCCAGAGGGGGCAGAUGCUUCACAGAGAAUUCUGAAGGUUUGAAUAUCUCUAGUUGAGCAUACCUGAACAUUUUUAUUGUAUCCUGAGAUUGGGCAUAAGUCAAGUGAUUUCCUACAGAC